UACGGGGGGAGCAAGCGUUGUUCGGAUUUACUGGGCGUAAAGGGCGCGUAGGCGGCCAGCGCAAGUCAGUUGUGAAAUCUCCGGGCUUAACUCGGAACGGUCAACUGAUACUGCGCGGCUAGAGUGCAGAAGGGGCAACUGGAAUUCCUGGUGUAGCGGUGGAAUGCGCAGAUAUCAGGAGGAACACCAAUGGCGAAGGCAGAUCUCUGGGCCGUAACUGACGCUGAGGAGCGAAAGCAUGGGGAGCGAACAGG
rnacentral:rRNA from 1 species